rnacentral:rRNA from 1 species
GGACUACCCGGGUAUCUAAUCCUGUUUGCUCCCCACGCUUUCGCGCCUCAGUGUCAGUUGCGGGCCAGGCAGCCGCCUUCGCCACUGGUGUUCCUCCCAAUCUCUACGCAUUUCACCGCUACACUGGGAAUUCCACUGCCCUCUACCGCACUCAAGACCGACCGUUUCGGAUGCAGUUCCCAUGUUAAGCACGGGGAUUUCACAUCCGACGCGUCCGUCCACCUACACGCCCUUUACGCCCAGUAAUUCCGGACAACGCUCGCCACCUACGUAUUACCGCGGCGGCUGGCAC